rnacentral:rRNA from 1 species
AAAACGACUCUCGGCAACGGAUAUCUAGGCUCUCGCAUCGAUGAAGAACGUAGCGAAAUGCGAUACUUGGUGUGAAUUGCAGAAUCCCGCGAAUCAUCGAGUUUUUGAACGCCAGUUGCGCCCGAAGCCAUUCGGCCGAGGGCACGUCUGCCUGGGUGUCACGC